rnacentral:tRNA from 1 species
GGGGGAUUAGCUCAGCUGGCUAGAGCACUUGUUUUGCACACAAGAGGUCAUCGGUUCGACUCCGAUAUCCUCCA